rnacentral:lncRNA from 1 species
UCGGAGAUCAGGCCUAAUUAGUUCCCACUUCCCAGGUUCCUUGAAAGCUUGUUUUUCUUAAAAAACUUGUGGCACACUUUAUUCAAAUCAAAUAAGGAUAUGACUAUAUCUCAUCUAGAUGUGAGAUAAUACCUCACAUCUAAAUAUGACAUCAACACUGUUUAUGGUUCCUUUUAUUUGUUUGUUUGUUUCUCUUGAUCCUCUUUGUUUGUCCCGGCUUACUCACUCCAGCCAGAUGAGAAACUAUCCCAAACAUACAAAACCCUCUACCGCCAAUCCAUUAAAUUGCCCGUGGAUACACGAAGCACGUAAAAGAAAAAAAAAAGUAACAUGAAGCAGGUGGCCAACUCCUUGUUAGGCUGGAGUAGCCCAAACCCGACUCGUACCAUUCGGCUUAGCCCUCUAUUUGUAGGACGUCAAUAACUACCGAACGUUCGGGCUGGGAGACCCCCAGGCCGAACGACUCGUUCGCUACCGGAUUGGAGAUCGACCGAACCCACUCGUUAGGGAGGAAAACACCCCAGCCCGAACGCCCCACCCACCAGGCCCUACAGGCCUCUUUCCUGUAAAGAAGAAAACGAAGAAUAAAGCCCAGGUUAAGUUACGACUAGUAAAAGCCCAGUUUUUUAUGUGUGACUAAUAAACACUGGUCGUUUGCACCACAAAAAUUGACAUGAUCUUUUGCCAUUAUAUGGAAAAAAAUUGCCAUGCUCAAGUUUAUGUUUUUUUAAAUGGCACAAAAAAAGGAAGAAAGUCAUGGCAAUUUGCUUCUUUACACCACAAAAAAAUGCCAUCACUACGAAGUUUACACUACGAAAAAGUUGCCAUGAAGUUUACAUACAUAUAGAUACAAGAUGGCAAAAAAAAAUGAAGUUUACAAUACAAUAUUUGCCAUCAUGGCGACGGUGCGGUGAAAAAUGUUUUUUAACAUCUUAACUUGCCAUGGCAAGUUUGCCAUGUUUUUGAACGUAUUAAUUAAAGAAAAUUGCCAUGGAAAUUUUUUAGAGGUGGAAAAAUGUUGAGACAUGGCAAGUUUGCCAUUUUUUGAACAUUUUAAUUAAAAAUUGCAAUGGCAAAUUUUAAGAGAUGGAAAAAUGUUUAGACAUGGCAAGUUUGCCAUGUUUUUUAACAUCUUAACUUGCCAUGGCAAGUUUGCCAUUUUUUGAACAUCUUAAUUAAAGAAAAUUGCCAUGGCAAAUUUUGAGAGAUGAAAAAAUGUUGAGACAUGGCAAGUUUUGAGAAAUUUGUCAUGGCAGGUUUUCAUGUUUUUAACAUGUUAACUUGCCAUGGCAAGUUUGCCAUGUUUUUGAACAUCUUAAUUAAAGAAUUUUUCCAUGGCAAAUUUUGAGAGAUGAAAAAUGUUGAGACAUGGCAACUUUUGAGAAAAUGACAACAAAUAACAAAAAAAAAACAAGUAAACGUUUAUUCCCUACAAAAGAAUGGAAAAUUUGCCGUGGAAAACUCUACACAAUAUAAUUCCCUCUCAAAUUUGCUAUGUGAUCAGACCACCAAUUUUACAAAAGUUGCCAUGUGUUACAGAAAAUGUAGUACUUCUGCCAUCGAAAUAAAUUAAAAAUUGUCAUGGCUUCACAAGUAUAUUUAAAGAUGCUACAUAAUAAAUUUUGUUAUGUUCUAGACAUGUAAAAUUUGCCAUCAUAUUUAAAUUAAAAUUGGCAUUCUCUUUACAAUAAAUUUGCCAUGGCAACUUAAAAUAAAAUUCACAAUGGCAACUUAAACUAAAAUUUCCGCAUCAAGCAUCAUGUAGUUUGCAAUGGUCUCUCCUCCCUCAACUACAUGAUGGCAACUUAAACAAGCUAGUUCAACGGGACAACAACAAAAAAUUGAACAUCUGUAGAAAAUUCAGUCAGUAGGUGUGUGAUGGAGGGAGGGAGCAACAGGUACCGUUGCUUUGGCGACCAGCAGCCUGAGGAACACGGCGGUAUGGUUGCCACCAUCUCCAGCAUGUGGAACGCGGCGGCAUGGUCGCCCCAUGUCGGCCCGACGAGGUCGCCUCCGGCUUUCUCGGCUCCGCGACCCUCGCCGCCCCGGCCGCUAUUACCUCUGCCACGACCCC